rnacentral:rRNA from 1 species
AUGUCUAUCCAGACCACCCUGAAUGCACCCAGUCUCCUCUGAUGUUGGAAGCUAAGCAGGGUUGGGUCUGGUUAGUACUUGGAUAGUACUUGGAUGCAAGACAGAAUGACACU